rnacentral:rRNA from 1 species
AUGACUCCGCACCUUCCUCGUCCAUGCGCCUCUGCUCAGGCUCACAUCGGGCUCCUCAUCAUCCUCCUCGACCUGCUCCUCCCGCCCGCACUCCUCUCCAACUUCCUCCCCGCCGGCGCCCCCUCCUUUCCGCUCCCCUCCCCUCCCCUCCAUAGGGCCAGAUCCGCACCGCGCGGUGUUUCCGCAUCCGCAUCCGCGCCACCACCACGCCCAAACCGCGGCCGAGGAGAGGAGCCCCGCCGCCACCACGCCCUCCUCCUUCCACCUCCACAGCUCUCCCUCCCUUCCUCCCUCCUCGCGCCUCAAACCCUAGCCCAUGCGCGGGUGGCCAUGGCGACCGAGCUCUGGAUCCUCAGCACCCUCUUCUCCAAGAGCAAGAUCAUCAACGCAACAUCCACAAGGAGAGGCUAUGUUUGCUCACUCCGAUCUGCUACAGCAUGGUCUGCUUCAACUUGUGAAGGAAGGGGGCCAGCCAAGGAGAAGCUGUUGUGCUGCACGUCGUCUACAGGAUCAACAUCGAAGUAGCUUGCGGUGAAGAAGAUCAAGGGUGAGAAGGACCCCAACAAGCCCACGCGCCCCCGAGCGCUUUCUUCAUCUUCAUGUGAGUCCCAGUCUUGGGACAACUUCAGGAAGGAGUACAAGGAGAAGCACCCCGGCGUCAAGCUGGUCUCCGUGAUUGGCAAGGCCGGUGGUGAGAAGUGGAAGUCCAUGAGUGAUGCUUGUUCGAACCAGUUGGUCAGUUAG